CUGAUGAAUCCGACUUGGUCUGCAUGGAUAAGAGAAUUUAGUAAAGGGUUCAGCCUAUCAGCCAGGAUUUUCGCCAAUAUUUUCAAAUCAUGGUUGAUUAGCGAUAUAGGUCUAUAGUUUUCAGGAUACAAUGGGUCCUUCCCGGGUUUGGGCAAAAGCACUAUGGUCGCCAAUGACAUGUCUGGGUCCAAUUGCCUACCUUGUCGUAGGUUAUCAAAAAGUUGGAC